rnacentral:sRNA from 1 species
AGUGCAUCGGGCGGUGCGGGAGAGGAGAGGAGGGGGUCCGGGAACCUCGGCCAGCCCCGGCCUCCGGCGGCUCCUGCCCUCGCGGUUUUUCCGACUGCGAAAUGGGCGCGGUCCCCAGAACCUGCCGAGAGCAGCGAGUGUGCGCCUGCGGGGCUUGGCAAACUGCCUCAGUUUCCCGGUCCCCAAGGGAGCACUGAGCCCUCCUCCGCCUUCACACCAGGCCGGCGCGAGUCCCUGGCGCCCCCUUCCCUAAACCCCCCGCGGCUCCCUCAGGACAACCCCACCCACCACAUUCAGGGCCGGCCUGACCUGGUCCUGCCGCCCCCAGCCCCUUAUUACGUCUCAUACUGGGUUGCGCUCUGUCGCAGCUCUUCCCGGCCCAGGUAGGACUCCUCCGGGAAGCCUUCCUGAUUCCAAGGCCGAGGAAGAGGUCUGCGCUGCCCCAUCCUCCUCCAUGCCCCGGGUGUCACUGUCCUUAACAACGCUGUCCUCUGCUCCAGCGCCAGGCAAACUGGGGGCAGUGCCGGGAGGCGAUCUAGGCGGGCGUCCUGUAGGGCAGGUUUAAGCGGGCUCUGCAGGUAACAGUACAAGUCCGUUGGAGAGCACCCGGGCAGGGCGCCCACAAUCUGGCCGGGAGGGACCAGGGCCUGGGUCUGGGCCCCCGGGGAUGCGGUUCCUAUGCGUUCCGGGUGAUCCGCGCGGACCUUCCGCACCUCUCUGGGUGGGUGGCCUUCCCUGAGAGGGAGCAUCCCGGCGAGAACGGCGGGCACUCAGUCGCCUCCUCUCCAGCACUGACCCAGGCGGCCUCCAAACUCUGGGUCCCCAACACGGACUUCGACGUCGCAGCCAACUGGAGCCAGAACCGCACCCCGUGCGCCGGCGGCGCCGUUGAGUUCCCGGCGGACAAGAUGGUGUCAGUCCUGGUGCGAGAAGGUCACGCCGUCUCAGACAUGCUCCUGCCGCUGGAUGGGGAACUCGUCCUGGCUUCAGGAGCCGGAUUCGGCGUCUCAGACGUGGGCUCGCACCUGGAUUGUGGCAGGGGCGAACCUGCGGUCUUCCGCGACUCUGACCGCUUCUCCUGGCAUGACCCGCACCUGUGGCGCUCUGGGGACGAGGCACCUGGCCUCUUCUUCGUGGACGCCGAGCGCGUGCCCUGCCGCCACGACGACGUCUUCUUUCCGCCUAGUGCCUCCUUCCGCGUGGGGCUCGGCCCUGGCGCUAGCCCCGUGCGUGUCCGCAGCAUCUCGGCUCUGGGCCGGACGUUCACGCGCGACGAGGACCUGGCUGCUUUCCUGGCGUCCCGCGCGGGCCGCCUACGCUUCCACGGGCCGGGCGCGCUGAGCGUGGGCCCCGAGGACUGCGCGGACCCGUCGGGCUGCGUCUGCGGCAACGCGGAGGCGCAGCCGUGGAUCUGCGCGGCCCUGCUCCAGCCCCUGGGCGGCCGCUGCCCCCAGGCCGCCUGCCACAGCGCCCUCCGGCCCCAGGGGCAGUGCUGUGACCUCUGUGGAGCCGUUGUGUUGCUGACCCACGGCCCCGCAUUUGACCUGGAGAGGUACCGGGCGCGGAUACUGGACACCUUCCUGGGCCUGCCUCAGUACCAGGGGCUGCAGGUGGCCGUGUCCAAGGUGCCACGCUCGUCCCGGCUCCGCGAGGCCGAUACGGAGAUCCAGGUGGUGCUGGUGGAGACCGGGCCCGAGACGGGCGGCGCGGGGCGGCUGGCCCGGGCCCUCCUGGCGGACGUCGCCGAGAACGGCGAGGCCCUCGGCGUCCUGGAAGCGACCAUGCGGGAGUCGGGCGCACACGUCUGGGGCAGCUCCGCGGCUGGGCUGGCGGGCGGCGUGGCGGCUGCGCUGCUGCUGGCGCUGCUGGUCCUGCUGGUGGCGCCGCCGCUGCUGCGCCGCGCGGGGAGGCUCAGGUACGCGGGGCGGGGGGCGGAGGUGGGGCUGGGGGUUGCUCCGAGGGGCUCACGCUGCGUCCCCGCUACGUCCUCAGGUGGAGGCGGCACGAGGAGGCGGCCCCGGCUGGAGCGCCCCUUGGCUUCCACAACCCGGUGUUCGACGUGAAGGCCUCCGAGGAGCUGCCCCUGCCGCGGCCGCUCAGCCUGGUUCCGAAGGCGGCCGUAGACAGCACCAGCCACAGUUACUUCGUCAACCCUCUGUUCGCCGGGGCCGAGGCCGAGGCCUGAGCGGCUUCCUGACCGUCGACCUUGGGCUCUCCACCCCCUCUGGCCCCAGAACCUCCCUGACCCCAGUCGACCUGGGGGCUAGCCACCUCCUCGUCCAGCCCCCAAACCUCCCCUUCCUUCCCUCCUCCUCCGGGGGCCAAGGACAGGGUGGCCUUACUCAAUAAAGGUGUUUCCUGC